CACGACUGGCGGAGCGCAGACGGCGCGCAGACGGCUCCACCCCUGGCCUCCGCCCGCCCCUUCCGCGUCCCGCAGGGAGCCUGGCAGGAAGGGCCAAUGGAAAUGCUAAUGCCUCUGACCAGAUUUCUUUGCCAGUGUGGAGACGCUCGGAGCCUCUUCUGAAAACACCAUCGAGAGCAUAAGGGGGAGGGGGAAGACGACGGAGACGGAGAGCGAGA